rnacentral:rRNA from 1 species
GACAGAGGGUGCAAACGUUGCUCGGAAUCACUGGGCGUAAAGGGCGUGUAGGCGGGAAGGAAAGUCAGAUGUGAAAUCCCCAGGCUCAACCUGGGAACUGCAUUUGAAACUCCCUUUCUUGAGUACCGGAGAGGAAAGUGGAAUUCCUGGUGUAGAGGUGAAAUUCGUAGAUAUCAGGAGGAACACCAGUGGCGAAGGCGGCUUUCUGGACGGUAACUGACGCUGAGACGCGAAAGCGUGGGGAGCAAACAGGAUUAGAUACCCUGGUAGUCCACGCUGUAAACGAUGAGUGCUAGGUGUCGUGGGUAUUGACCCCCGCGGUGCCGUAGCUAACGCAUUAAGCACUCCGCCUGGGAAGUACGGUCGCAAGACUAAA